rnacentral:rRNA from 1 species
GACGAACCGUGCGAACGUUGUUCGGAAUCACUGGGCUUAAAGGGCGCGUAGGCGGGUUCGUAAGUCUGUGGUGAAAGCCUCCAGCUUAACUGGAGAAGUGCCAUGGAUACUGCGAAUCUUGAGGAGGGUAGGGGCAUCUGGAACGGUCGGUGGAGCGGUGAAAUGCGUUGAUAUCGACCGGAACUCCGGUGGCGAAGGCGAGGUGCUGGACCCUUUCUGACGCUGAGGCGCGAAAGCGUGGGGAGCGAACAGG